GUGUAUAUGAGUCUGUGUGAUCUGUGCUAGGGUGCUGUCCUGGUGAAGUAGGGUAUGGGAUGAGAAAGCACCCAGUUCUAGACAACUCAUGUUUUUGAGAAGUGAAAGAAUGCUCUGUAUGGAGGACUCUGAAUUCCAUCUGGCAGAUGUUAUCCUAGUAAAUGCUACUUUAAUCUAAAUCUGGGUAGCUUCUCUCUUGAACAUCAAGGAGAGUCUGCAGUCAUUCUUUGUGAACACUACAUCAAAGUGAUUGGAGAGAGCAUGGUAGUAAUUUUAGUGUUCAGACCUCUUUUAUUUUUUGAGAGAGUUCUUACUCUGGCACUCAGGCUGGUAUAUGGUGGCACAGUCACGGCUCACUGCAACCUCGAUCUCCUGGGCUCAGGUGAUCCUCCUGCCUCAGCCUCCCAAGUAGCUGGGACCACAGGUACAUGCCACCACACCCAAUUCAUUUUUUUUUUUAAUUUCUUAUAGAGGCAGGGUCUCACUAUGUUGCCCAGCUAGUCUCAAACUCUUGGGCUCAAGCAAUCCGCCACCCCUGGCCUCCCAAAGUGGUGGGAUUACAAGGUUGAGCCACCUUGUGAAGCCCAGACCUCUUUUAGAUCCUUUGAGCUUCAUAGCAACCUAAGGCAUAUAAAACAUGUAUUAACUGUUUUAUAGCCAAACAGACCAAGGCUCAGAGAGCCUAAGUGUUUUGCCUAAGAUUAAAUGCCGAGUAUGUUGCUGAGCUGAGUAUAGAAUCUGGUCCUCUUGAGUUCUCACUGUUAAAUUACUUUUGUAAGUUACAUGUAAACCAACGGGUCAAUGUAAUAAUCUUGUUGGGCCGUUUGUUAGUGAAAUAUUUCAUUUUUCUGCUUUAGUAGAGCAGAUUUGUUUUGCUUAGUAGAGCAGAUAUUUUUUAAAAAUCAUGGGCAGUUAAAGAGGAGCAGAGAAAUAUUUGGUGAGAUUAAAAAGGCUUUUUGGAGAAAGAAGGAAAGAUGAGGGAAAAAUAAAAAAAAAAAAAACCCAGGCAGAGCACGCUGGGUUGCCGCCACCGGCCACAGCCACCAUCGUGCCAGCCCCUCGGGUCUCUGUGAGGCCGGGUGACGCUCCAGAAUGGGACACAAGCCAAAUUGGGAGCAGAUUGGAUCCAGCUUCAUUCAACAUUAUUACCAGUUAUUUGAUAAUGAUAGAACCCAACCAGGCACAAUUUAUAUUGAUGCAUCAUGCCUUAAGUGGGAAGGACAACAGUUCCAGGGGAAAACUGCCAUUGUGGAGAAUUUGUCUAGCCUUCCAUUCCAGAAAAUCCAGCACAGCAUCACGGCGCAGGACCAUCAGCCCAUGCCAGAUAGCUGCAUUAUCACACGUGGUUAUGGGCCAGCUUAAGGCGGAUGAAGACCCCAUCAUGGGGUUCCACCAGAUGUUCCUAUUAAAGAACAUCAACGAUGCUUGGGUUUGCACCAAUGACAUAUUCAGGCUCGCCCUGCACAACUUCAGUGACCUUCUCUCAGCCAAGCACUUCUCCUAUUUCCUCCUCCCUGCUCUUUCCUCCUCCUUCCUCUUCCCAAUACUAUUCCCACUCCUCCAGAUGUUUCAAAUAUGCACAAAUGAGCAGGGCUGCGGCGGGAGUGGGCGCAGUGUACUGCAGCCACCAAGGUGUUGUGCAUGAUGUUUGGACGCUAGACUAGUUGCAUCUGACGGGAGAAGUUUGUGUUGUACCAGUGCAUGCCUUGGAAAGACUUAAGUAAUGCGAAAAGUUGUCCUUUUUUUUAAUCUACCAACAAGUUGCUCUAGUAACCCAAAGACGUGAAGGAGAAAGCAGCUGCCUCACCGCCCAGACGUUGAUUUGUUCAGAUGUUUCAAUACCUCAUGAUACAAUAAAACCACAAGAAUUUUCUUAACAGUUUAAAAAAUAAAUUAAAAAUAUAAAUAAAAAUUGAUCCAAGAUGGCAAAUUGCUAUCAGGAUUGUAGCUCCCAGUGAAAGUGUAGAGAACAAGAGGAUGCCACAGUUUGAGACGAAUUUUUGUUGCUCAUGGACCAGAUUUCCAGCAGAGGAGCCCCACGGGUCACCAGCGCGACUCUUGUGGCCGGCAGAGCGGUUUUGCCAGUGCUUUGACGUGGUGGUUCUUGAUGUAGAAUAAACAGGACUGGUUCCCCUUUUGACCGACGUUUGGAGCUCCAGGAAGGCAGAGUUGCUUACUCAGCUGAUUGAAGGACGGACUCAAGAAGGAAGGCAGACCAGAGAUUCUGGGGCAGAAAUGCACCAUCAAUCUUAAUGCCACUGUUUUAGCCAGUGCAGUGGGUCGCUCAGAUUCCGGCGCUGGGAAUCAAUAAAUUGGACGUCCACUCAGAAACCAAAUUAGAGAGGCGGUAAUUACAAAGAUGACAGAUGGAUAAAUUUAUAACAAAGGGAAGAAACCAGCCUAAAAAGGCUGAGAAUACCCAAAAUCAGAACGCCUCUCCCUCUACAGGGGAUUACAGUUCCUUAUCAGCAACAGAACAAAGCCUGAUGGAGAAAGACUGUGUUUCAUUAACAGAAGUAGGCUUCAGAAGGUGGAUGAUAAGAAACUUCUGGGAGUUAAAAGAACUUCUUCUAACCCAAUGCAAAGAAACUAAGAACUUCAAAAAAAGCUUUGAUGAAAUGCUAACAAGAAUAGACAAUAUGGAGAGGAAUAUAAGUGAAUUAAUGGAGUUGAAAAACACAACACGAGAACUCUGCGAAGUAUGCACAAGUUUUAACAGCUGAUUGAUCAAACAGAAGAAAGGAUAUCAGAGGUCGAAGACCAAAUUAAUGAAAUAAAACGAGAAGACAAGAAUAGAGAAAAAAGGAUAAAAAGGAAUGAGCAAAGUCUCCAAGAAAUAUGGGACUAUGUGAAAAGACCCAGUUUACGUUUGAUAGGUGUACCUGAAUACGACGAAGAGAAUGAAUCCAAGCUGGAAAAUACUCUUUAGGAUAUUAUUCAGGAAAAUUUUCCCAACCUAGCAAGGCAGGACAAUAUUCAACUCCAGGUAAUACAGAGAACACCACAAAGAUAUUCCUCAAGAAGAGCAACCCCAAGGCACAUAAUUGUUAGAUUCACCAGGGUUGAAAUGAAGGAGAAAAUACUAAGGGCAGCCAGAGAGGAAGGUCAGGUUACCCAUAAAGGGAAGCCUAUCAGACUUACAGCAAAUCUCUCAGCAGAAACCCUACAAGCCAGAAGAGAGUGGGGGCCAAUAUUCAACAUCCUUAAAGAAAAGAACUGUCAACCCAGAAUUUCAUAUCCAGCCAAACUAAGCUUCACAAGGGAAGGAAAAAUAAAAUCUUUUAUGAACAAGCAAGUACUCAGAGAUUUCAUUACCACCAGGCCUGCUUUACAAGAGCUUCUGAAAGAAGCAUUACACAUAGAAAGGAACAAUCAGUAUUAGCCUUUCCAAAAAUAUACCUAAAAGUAAAGAGCAUCAACAUAAUGAAGAAUUUACAUGAACUAAUGGGCAAAACAGCCAGCUAACAUCAAAUGGCAGUAAUCCUAAAUUUAAAUCAACUAAAUCCCCCAAUCAAAAGAUACAGCCAAAACCCAUCAGUAUGCUGCAUCCAGACCCAUCGCACAUGCAAGGAUACACAAAGACUAAAAACAAAGGGAUGCAGAAAGAUUUACCAACCAAAUGGAGAUCCAAAAUAAAUAAAUAAAUAAAAAGCAGGAGUUGCAUUUCUCGCCUCUGAUAAAAUAGAUUUUAAAGCAACAAAGAUAUAAUGGUAAAACGAUCAAUGCAACAAGAAGAGCUAACGAUCCUAAAUAUAUAUGCACCCAAUACAGGAACACCCAGAUACAUAAGACCUAAAAAGAGACUUAGACUCCCACACAAUAAUAGUGGGAGACUUCAACAUCAAUAUUAGAUAGAUUGACGAGACAGAAAAUUAAUAAGGAUAUCCAGGACUUGAACUCAGAUCCGGAACAAGUAAACUUAAUAAAAAUUUAUAGAACUCUCCACUUUAAAUACACAAAAUAUACACUCUUAUCAGUACCACAUCACACCUACUGACAGGUUUAAAUGAAAUAUUGGUUGGCCAUUAUUAAGCACAAUUAUUGGCAUAAAAGAGGUUUUCAAUACCCAUUUUUAGAAUAAAGCAACACUCCCGUUCUCUCUCCCUCUUCCUCUUUCUUCCUCUCCUUCAUUCCUUUUUUCUUCCUUUCUCUUUCUUUUUAAAAAGAAAAUCAAUAUCAAUAUCAAUAUUAGAUAGAUUGACACGACAGAAAAUUAAUUUUUAAAAAGAAAGAGAGAAAGAAAAAAUGGAUAGUUUAUCCCCUGUCUCCUUCCCACAACCCACCUCUGAAAAAAAAGAAAAAAGAAAAUGUUACUUUGAGGUCCUAGGAGAAUACUAUUGUGAUUGGAAAUAUGGGUCUAGAUCUCAGAAGAGAUUAUUGACAUACAUUUUGGGAAUACUCAAAAAAAAAAAAAAAAAAUCAAGAGAGCCAGAAUUUUUUCUAGGUCAUCAGAAUUGUUGCCUUGUUAAAUUGACCACCCACAUUUCUUCCUUUUUUCCUGACCUUUGAGGUAAUUAGCACCUCUUCUUUCAUGGCAGAAUCUCUCUCAGCCCAUAAAGAUCUAAUCUCUACUUUCAUUGGGUUGUUGGAUAUCUUUAAGUCAAACUCCAUUUAUUUCUCUUCCAUGUCUGAGUCCCUUUCCUUUUUUUUUAAUUUUUUUCAGUUUUUCCUCUUUCAUUCUCUAUUUGCUGCUAAGUAAAUGACUACUGGAAAAAAAAAAUCAGCUAAAAAAAAUCAGGAAUUGGAUUCCUUGGGAUAAAAGG